ensembl:processed_transcript
AAUAAAUAAGUGCAGUAAGGUUAUCACAUGCCUAACGCAACCUGACACAUGGCCAGACCCGUUUACUGGGUGUUUGCACCUAGAGAAGAUGGUAGCAGCAUCAAAAAGAUGUGGCGUAUUGAAGAAUGUGUGCUCCCCGGCGUGACGGAGCUGCUGUUCUGAGUCGUGACGCUGACUCCAGCAGCAUGUUCCCCUGGGCACUGAAGCGCAACGUCUGCCACGGGCCGAGCUGAGGAUCACAGCUUCAACAGCAGCUCUCAGAUCAGCCGUGUCACGGUGCUCCACCACAGCCCACUGAGGAGGAGCUGUUCUCAGAGCAGUGAAACAGGCUGCGGUACACCUGAAAGGUUAUGGUCUUUAAUAGUCCCUACAGCUUGAAGAGAGCCUGCCUUGGAACUGAUCGGGAAACUGCUGCUAAAGUGUGUGGGAGAGAUCUGUGUGCAGGGAGCACGUGAACGCACAAGGCAGAACGCUGAAAUAUUUCUCUCCCGGUAAAAAAUGUGUGAGCCCACUGCUGUGUUAAACAGAGCCAGAGAGCACAGAUCUGACACAAUCAGCUUUCUGCAAAGGCCAGACAUCGUCUAAAACCCAAAAGAGCCAGGAAAGCUCAUCAGUCCUCUGUCAUGCAAAACACUCCACUGACUG